rnacentral:lncRNA from 1 species
CCUGCAUGCUGGAAGAUGGCACCAGAUCUCAUUAUAGAUGGUUGUGAACCACCACGUGGUUCCUGGGAAUUCAACUCAGGACCUCUAGAAGAGUAAUCAGUGCUCUUAACCUCUGAGCCAUCUUUCCAGUCCCCAGGACAAAUGGUAUCUCCUGAGUGCAGAAAUUAUUCUUCUCCACUAUCUAAGCCACAUAUUGCAAUAAACCUUGUGUAUCAUAAUUCUGCCCAUCACCUGCAAUGAGACUCCCAGGUUGAAGAAUUGCUGUGCACAUAAACUAAAGAAAAUGUACUAUGGGUGUUUCUCCUGUAAAAUUAGCAGUGGGAGCUGGAGAGGUGGCUCAGCAGGACUCCAAUUCAAUCUCAUCAGUUCUCUUCUGGCUACUGUGUGUAGUCGGUGCACAUUCAUAUGCUCAAACAAAACACCAGUACACAUAAAAAUAAAGAAAGAAAUUAACAACACUUCCAAUGACUGCCUUGACCCAGCACUGCAAAAGGUUAAAUAGAAGAAAACAAAGAGAGGCUUUUCCUUGGAGUACUACACCUGUCCACUGUGGUCAUCAUUCAGGUUCCUGAAGUAUUAAUGGUAGCAACGAAAACUUAGUACUUGAUUCAAGAUACAUCCAAAAAGCCUCAUAUAAAUUAAUCAAGAGGAUCCAUGAUUUUAAAAGAAAGCCAGGCACAGUGAAACACACCAGCGACCUCUGCUAUGUAGACCGUUUCAAAAGAAGAGGUGGAGCAUUGAGAGUCUGCCGGACAUAUAGAAGGUCUUGGGUUUGCUCUCCAGUACCAUAAAAUAUGGCAGCUGGAUCGCUGAGUUCGAGUGCAGCCUGCUCUGCAGCACUAGUUCGAGGACAGCGAAGGCUACACAGAGAAAC